UCAUGUUAUUGAAUUAUAUCAAGAUGUGCUGGUGUUGACAUGGCAACCCUGCCAUAUGAGCUUGCACCAAAAGAAUUUGGUGGUCAAGAAGAAGAUCAACAAAGGAGUAAGCAUGCAACUUCAAGGAGUGUGAACGUGAAGAAGUCAUUGCUAGUGAAACAGAAGUCAUCUGUUGUUAAUGCUCGAAAGCCUCCGAUAGAGAAGCGGAGGAAGCCAUCUGCUUCGAAUGUGCAAUUUGUGAGGUCCCCGCUACUGAAUAAGAUCCUAACAUCGCCAAGGAUGGGCCAGUCCGGAGCCAAACACCAAAGGUCACCAUAUGCAGGAUUAUCAUCUUCAACCUUACCCAAUGAUACAAGAAUGGCUGCUUCUCCUAAUCUUGGCCGAGGU
rnacentral:lncRNA from 1 species